AUGAAUGAGACAGCUCCUAACAGGUCAUCUUCACCCAACCACAUCAAAACAGACAAGAAAAGAGCUUGUCUGCCUUGCCUCUGCACCUUCAUCGAGGAGGAACUGUUUCUUCCCCAGAACACCCAAGAGACCAGCUCUCACCUCAUUGGCCAGCACUGGAUAGAGCAUAAGGGAAGCUGGGAAGUUCACUUCAUGUGGUUACGGAUCUGGAGACACAGCUUCUGUCCAUACUCUGAACAUCUGGGAAAGGGACUAGCAAACCACUGUGCAGCCAGUUCCUUCAAGGGAUCCAUCACCAACAAGCUACCAUCAGAAGAAUUUCAAGAAUAGUGAGUCAAAUAUUAUUCAUUUCCUAAUGAAGACCAUCUCUAUAUACUUUCAGAUCUCAGAAUAUAAAAUUCAUCUAGAGCAAACAUAUAAUACUCAUGGUAUUUUGUGUAUAUAAAAAUAUAUUUCCUCUUGAGAAUGGAUGAGGAAAGCAAGUGUCCAAUUUUAUAUUCCACUAGGCUGUGCCUUCAGCCUAAUCUAGUAACAAUUUUAUAAGAAUCAAUUACUGAGCCAGAAUUAGAUUGUUACGCGAUUUUGAUGAUA
rnacentral:lncRNA from 1 species